rnacentral:lncRNA from 1 species
AAUUAAAUGGAGGUUAUUUUGAGAAUUUAAAAUUAUGGGGGCGAAUUCAUACUCUAUGGUUUCAAUAAAAUAAAAUUGAGUAUAAGGGGUUAAACGAAAUUUUACAUUUCAAGAAGUUUAUAAUAUUCAUGAAUAAAAUAUAAAUAAUAUAGAGUAUAGGGGGCUAGAUGAAAUUUCACAGGCUGACCGUCACUUACAUUCAACGUAAGUUAGGCGGACCCUCAUGUAAGAGGCUCAAGCUAAAGCCCGUAGGAAUGGGCCAGAUGAGCCCCAUGCUGUUUUAGCAUCCUUAAUUAUACAUAUAUAGAAGGAGGGGUUAUUUCAAUUUAGUAUUUUAAUUCAAAUUUUGAGAUAUUGAUCUCAUGCAAUCUAAUAAUGGAUAUUGAAAGUUAAAAUAACAUUUAAUGAUGUCAUUGCAUGAAAUCAAUAGCUCAAAAUUUGUGUAAAAAAAUUUAAGAAAACUUACACACAGACACACACAAGUUUAAACAUAUACAUACACGCAUAGCAUAUUCAAGAGACAUACUUUUUUAAACACAAAUUUAAAUAUAAUAUUAUGACCAUUAAAUUAAAACUAAUCAAAGAUUAAGAUUAAAGCUGACGCUACUUUUUUAUCCUUUUAAAAACUAACAAAUUAAUGUGGUAGGUUAUCAUAUAACAAUAAAUUAUCACUCAUUCUUCUUUCUUUUACUAAAUACAUUCUUUCUUUUUCUUUUAUAAUAUUACUCUAUUUUGUCUCUCAAAAAAAAUUUCAUACACUUCAAUAAUACAAAAUCUGAUAAGAACUGUUCAAAUACAUCGCCUCCCAAUAAAGUAUAAUUUCAGAAAAAUUGGAAGACAUAUGACGCAAUCCUCACGCGACAUCUAGUAAGCAAUGAUAUUCUUUUGCCUUUUAUUUUUUUGUUACUUUCAGCUAUUUAUUUAUUAAUUCACAUGGUUAACGAGAUUGGAAAAAAAAACCUUUAAAGUCAAUGCUAUUUCUUUAAAUUUUUUGAAUGCUGUAUUUAUGUCUUUGUCAAUUAUUGUAACUUAUUGUUUACUCGAUGUUUGAGAUUGCAGUUUUAGUUAUUUUUCAAGAAACAAAUAUGUCAAUCAUAUAUAUUAUAGAUGAAUAAUAUUUCUAUUUACAACUUUUAGCUUGUUGUAUAUAUAUUUUUUUCUUCUUUUUUGUACUUAGUGAUCUUCUUUUUUAUGAAACAUUAAAAUGUCAUUUUGUAAGAGAUGACCUAUUUAUUUUGUGAGAGUUGAGUUUUACCCUUAACUAUAAAAAUUAUGUAGUUCAGUAAAAAAUUUCAAGCAUAAUACACUGUGAAUCACAAAAGUGAGACAUGAUGCAGCUACCAAAGUACGCAAAUGGGAGAAAUAAUUUAAUAAGAUAGGCUUAAUAAUUGAAAAGUGACAAAAGAGGGAAUAUACUAAUGCUGCGUUUACUUUUUGAAUUGGAGUGGGAAUCCUGAGGAAUGAGAAUCCUUGGAUUAGGAGUGUGGAAUGGGAGUGGGAGUAGGUUGUUUACUUACACUAGAAUGGAAGCAUGGAAUAGAGAUCAAAAUCCAAUUUAUGUGUUUACUUUGUCUUGGAUUGGGAGUAAAUAGUUUCAAAUUACAAUUUUAUCCUUAUUUAAAGAAUUAUAG